CCUACGGGAGGCAGCAGUAGGGAAUAUUGCUCAAUGGGGGAAACCCUGAAGCAGCAACGCCGCGUGGAGGAUGAAGGUUUUCGGAUUGUAAACUCCUUUUGUUAGAGAAGAUACUGACGGUAUCUAACGAAUAAGCACCGGCUAACUCCGUGCCAGCAGCCGCGGGAAUACGGAGGGUGCAAGCGUUACUCGGAAUCACUGGGCGUAAAGAGCGCGUAGGCGGGAUAGCAAGUCAGAUGUGAAAUCCUAUGGCUUAACCAUAGAACUGCAUUUGAAACUGUUAUUCUAGAGUAUGGGAGAGGUAGGUGGAAUUCGUGGUGUAGGGGUAAAAUCCGUAGAGAUCAAGAAGAAUACUCAUUGCGAAGGCGACCUGCUAGAACAUAACUGACGCUGAUGCGCGAAAGCGUGGGGAGCAAACAGGAUUAGAUACCCUAGUAGUC
rnacentral:rRNA from 1 species